rnacentral:rRNA from 1 species
AUUGAACGCUGGCGGCAUGCUUUACACAUGCAAGUCGAACGGUAACAGGCCGCAAGGUGCUGACGAGUGGCGAACGGGUGAGUAAUGCAUCGGAACGUGCCCAGUCGUGGGGGGUAACGCAGCGAAAGCUGCGCUAAUACCGCAUACGAUCUAUGGAUGAAAGCGGGGGACCGUAAGGCCUCGCGCGAUUGGAGCGGCCGAUGUCAGAUUAGGGAGUUGGUGGGGUAAAGGCUCACCAAGCCGACGAUCUGUAGCUGGUCUGCGAGGACGACCAGCCACACUGGGACUGGGACACGGCCCAGACUCCUACGGGAGGCAGCAGUGGGGAAUUUUGGACAAUGGGCGCAAGCCUGAUCCAGCAAUGCCGCGUGCAGGAAGAAGGCCUUCGGGUUGUAAACUGCUUUUGUACGGAACGAAAAGGCUCUGGUUAAUACCUGGGGCUCAUGACGGUACCGUAAGAAUAAGCACCGGCUAACUACGUGCCAGCAGCCGCCGUAACAC